rnacentral:rRNA from 1 species
GACGUAGGGGGCCAGCGUUGUUCGGAAUUACUGGGUGUAAAGGGUUCGUAGGCGGUGCGGCAAGUCGGGAGUGAAAUCUCUGGGCUUAACCCAGAGGCUGCUUCCGAAACUGCUGUGCUUGAGUGUGGGAGAGGCGCGUGGAAUUGCAGGUGUAGCGGUGAAAUGCGUAGAUAUCUGCAGGAACACCCGUGGCGAAAGCGGCGCGCUGGACCACUACUGACGCUGAGGAGCGAAAGCCAGGGGAGCAAACGGG